AACACAUCAGUACACACAUACACAAAUUGAAGUGUGUGCUUGGCAUUAAAAUCCAAAACUUAUAGAGCUGCCCUGGCAUUGUGCAGGCCAAGUUCACACUAAUAUAAAUGUGCUGUGACUUCACGUCUAUGCACAUAUAUUUCGUUUUCCUGACCAGGCAAAUUGUUUGACUCGGCGUCCAAAUUGAAGCGCUUGGCAAAUAUUUUCGGUACAGUCCGCAGCUAAGCUGGAGCAGCAGACGCAGCAGCAGCAGAAGUGACGUUUGCGACGGCUUCUGGAAAAUUGUUGCCGGAAAAAUAGCAACAUAACUGCAAAUGAAAUUUCGUAGAUUUCGCUGCAAAGUAAAUGAAGAAUAAUGUGCAAAAGCAAAUUGCCAAAAAGGGGCGUAAGCGACAGCAACAGAAAAUACCAAAUACACAAAUAAACAAGCAAGAAGAUUCUAGCUGUUAGCCUAACCUAACUAGAAGAUACUCCUUGACACUAAGAGGAUUCAAUUUACAAAGGAUUAACUUAAGGCGCCGUAAAUAUUAUUUCGCAUCAGCUUUGUCAACCACAGAAAUUGGCAAGUCAAAACAAAGAUUUACUCUGCGAUUGUUAGCUUUCUAUGCCAGCUUUUAGCAGCUCUUUGUGUAGAGGGUAUACAAAAAGAAACGAGAACAGCACAAAUUAUUUUCAUUGUUGCUGACACCUCAGAUGCUCGCCAAGAUGCCGACAAAGAUGUGAGCCCGACGAUGGAGCAACUUUUUAAUUAAGAAAUCUUGCGGCAUUGCUUAAAUAUUUCAACUGCAGCUGCAACUGCAACUGUUGCAACUGCAAUUGCUUCCUAAUUAAGACAUAAACGCACGCGCUGCCACUUGAAUAAUUUGUGGCCAACACAAAGUUCGAGGCGUGGCACCAAUUCAAACUUUUAUUUAUGGCCAUAAAAUGCAAUUACACAUCAUCUUUAGCACGGCUGAACGGGCCAAACAAAAUCCGCUUGGGCGCAACAGCCCUAAUCGAACAUAUUUCUUUCUCGGUAGCAGAAAAAAAUACAAGCAAUAAAAUGAUGAGCAUUCAGCUGCCGUACGCAGAGAUACCCUUUAUAUAGAUAAUCAUAAGCUAGUUGCAGUUUAUGCUGCCUUAAAAGUUGAUGAUUUACUUAGACCACGUGGCCUAUUAUUAAUAUUUCCUGGGGUAUAACAAUAAUAUGGCGCCAGUUUAGUGGGCCAAUAUUUAUGAUUUUAUAAAUGUUGCUGUCAUCCAGUUUGUGGCGGCGUCCAAAAUCGAUUUGUUAGAAUUCAUAAUCUCAAUUUUAUGCCAUUUGAAGAUUGACAAUAUUAUUUUAAGAAA